rnacentral:rRNA from 1 species
UACAUAGGGUGCAAGCGUUGUCCGGAAUUAUUGGGCGUAAAGAGCUUGUAGGCGGUUUGUCGCGUCUGCUGUGAAAUUUCGGGGCUCAACCCCGAACUUGCAGUGGGUACGGGCAGACUAGAGUGAUGUAGGGGAGACUGGAAUUCCUGGUGUAGCGGUGAAAUGCGCAGAUAUCAGGAGGAACACCGAUGGCGAAGGCAGGUCUCUGGGCAUUAACUGACGCUGAGGAGCGAAAGCAUGGGGAGCGAACAGG